AAGAAAAUAAAAACAAAGCCGCUAACUUUAACUUUAGUAAUUAAUCAUUACUUUUUUCUUA
rnacentral:tRNA from 1 species